UGAAGUGGCGGAAUGGUAGACGCACAGGACUUAAAAUCCUGUGGUAGAAAUACCGUGAGGGUUCAAGUCCCUCCUUCAGC
rnacentral:tRNA from 1 species